rnacentral:tRNA from 1 species
GGAGGAUUACCCAAGUGGCCAAAGGGGACAGACUGUAAAUCUGUUGGCGUAUGCCUUCGGAGGUUCGAAUCCUCCAUCCUCCA